CUCUCCUUAUCGAGGUCAGAGUGACACUGACACUCAGCAGUGCUCAGCCGGGACAGCUUCUUUGUCUCCUGAGGACAAGUCAGAGGUGACCUUCAGUGCAGGCACACCACAAAGGGUUACAGUGUCCACGUCUCCGUAGCCCAGACCCACUCGAGAUGUCAGCGAUGCACUGGGAGGCCAGGCGACGGCAGGCUGCUCUGGACCGCAGGAUGGCCCGAGACAAGCAGCCGUUGGUGCACAUGAGAAGCUCUUCUGACACCAAUCCAACCAAAUCAAAUGCAACACAAGAACAACGAG